rnacentral:rRNA from 1 species
GAACGCUGGCGGCGUGCUCAUACAUGUCAGUCGAACGCUUUUGUUUUCACCGGAGCUUGCUCCACCGAAAACAAAAGAGUGGCGGACGGGUGAGUAACACGUGGGUAACCUGCCCUCAAGCGGGGGAUAACACUUGGAAACAGGUGCUAAUACCGCAUAACAAUCAGAGUCGCAUGAUUUUGAUUUGAAAGGCGCUUUUGCGUCACUUGAGGAUGGACCCGCGGUGCAUUAGCUAGUUGGUGAGGUAACGGCUCACCAAGGCCACGAUGCAUAGCCGACCUGAGAGGGUGAUCGGCCACACUGGGACUGAGACACGGCCCAGACUCCUACGGGAAAGGGGCAGCAGUAGGGAAUCUUCGGCAAUGGACGAAAGUCU